rnacentral:sRNA from 1 species
ACAAAGUUUCUAUGCGUUCAUGGUUACACUAAAUUAGGUACAAAUCCGGUCACACAGCGCACCGUUGCGUUUUUCGUUGAUAAUUUUUAAAUUUAUUUAUUAGUUUAUUAGCUCGAAACUGAGCUGCAAAAUUAAGCCUGCUUACCCCGCCCGGGCUACCUCGGUCCAUCGCCCUGUUCGCGCACCAUCGGAUAUCGCCCAUCUGCUGACGGUAAUUGGAGAACGUUUUCGUUUCGUUUUUUCCAUUUUAUCUCCUCCUUUUCCUCCACUUCGUUCGCUCUCUUUGUGCGCUGCCCCCCCUGCUCCCCUCUCGGUUCGUCGUAUGCAGCCAGCAAAGAGCGAUUUGCGUGCCCGUGAAAUUCCAUUAAGAUUCGCCUUAAAUCAAAUAAUGUUUCAAUAAGAUUAGUAUGUGUGCAUUAGUGCAAAUGGCUCGGUUCGGUUCCUGCCUCAAAACAUGAAAAUGGUGCAAGACGCUCCCAACGCCGUGCCGAGCUGGCAUAUUUUGGUGCGCGACGCCGUCGACGCGUUUUCUCCCGGCCGCGGACUCUGCGCGACUGUGAGGAAUUUACAGCAACAACAAAAACAGCAAAAGCUAAAGCGACAGCAACAAAAACAAUGAAUAUGGCCCAGUCUAAAUGACGUCACAAGCGUAACAGAGUG